AGGUCAUUGCUAUUGGAGUCCGAUUUAGCCAUGCUAGUUGUACGAGUUCAGACUCGUAGCAAAUAGCUCAGUAACACGUGGCCAAACUACCCUAUUGAGCACGAUACCCUCGGGAAACUGAGGCUAAUAGUGCAUACGGCUCGAUGCCUGGAAUGGCUCGAGCUCGAAACGCUCAGGCGCGAUAGGAUGUGGCUGCGGCCGAUUAGGUAGACGGUGGGGUAACGGCCCACCGUGCCAAUAAUCGGUACGGGUUGUGAGAGCAAGAGCCCGGAGACAGUAUCUGAGACAAGAUACCGGGCCCUACGGGGCGCAGCAGGCGCGAAACCUUUACACUGCACGCGAGUGCGAUAAGGGGACUCCAAGUGCGAGGGCAUAUAGUCCUCGCUUUUUCCGACCGUAGGAUGGUCGGCGAAUAAGUGCUGGGCAAGACCGGUGCCAGCCGCCGCGGUAAUACCGGCAGCACAAGUGAUGACCGCUAUUAUUGGGCCUAAAGCGUCCGUAGCUGGCCACGCAAGUCCAUCGGGAAAUCUCUCCGCUCAACGGAGAGGCGUCCGGUGGAAACUGCAUGGCUUGGGACCGGAAGAUCCAGAGGGUACGUCUGGGGUAGGAGUGAAAUCCUGUAAUCCGAGACGGACCACCGGUGGCGAAAGCGCUCUGGAAAGACGGAUCCGACGGUGAGGGACGAAAGCUCGGGUCACGAACCGGAUUAGAUACCCGGGUAGUCCGAGCUGUAAACGAUGUCUGCUAGGUGUGGCACAGGCUACGAGCCUGUGCUGUGCCGUAGGGAAGCCGUGAAGCAGACCGCCUGGGAAGUACGUCUGCAAGGAUGAAACUUAAAGGAAUUGGCGGGGGAGCACUACAACCGGAGGAGCCUGCGGUUU
rnacentral:rRNA from 1 species